GAUGAACGCUGGCGGCGUGCCUAACACAUGCAAGUCGAGCGAUUCUCUUCGGAGAAGAGCGGCGGACGGGUGAGUAACGCGUGGGUAACCUGCCCUGUACACACGGAUAACAUACCGAAAGGUAUGCUAAUACGGGAUAACAUAUUUUGGUCACAUGGUCGAAAUAUCAAAGCUCCGGCGGUACAGGAUGGACCCGCGUCUGAUUAGCUAGUUGGUAAGGUAAUGGCUUACCAAGGCGACGAUCAGUAGCCGACCUGAGAGGGUGAUCGGCCACAUUGGAACUGAGACACGGUCCAAACUCCUACGGGAGGCAGCAGUGGGGAAUAUUGCACAAUGGGCGAAAGCCUGAUGCAGCAACGCCGCGUGAGCGAUGAAGGCCUUCGGGUCGUAAAGCUCUGUCCUCAAGGAAGAUAAUGACGGUACUUGAGGAGGAAGCCCCGGCUAACUACGUG
rnacentral:rRNA from 1 species